rnacentral:rRNA from 1 species
GUCCAGACUCCUACGGGAGGCAGCAGUGGGGAAUAUUGCACAAUGGGGGAAACCCUGACGCAGCAACGCCGCGUGAGUGAAGAAGUAUUUCGGUAUGUAAAGCUCUAUCAGCAGGGAAGAGAAUGACGGUACCUGACUAAGAAGCCCCGGCUAACUACGUGCCAGCAGCCGCGGUAAUACGUAGGGGGCAAGCGUUAUCCGGAUUUACUGGGUGUAAAGGGAGCGUAGACGGCUGGCCAAGUCUGAAGUGAAAGCCCGGGGCUUAACCCCGGAACGGCUUUGGAAACUGGCCGGCUGGAGUGCUGGAGAGGCAGGCGGAAUUCCUGGUGUAGCGGUGAAAUGCGUAGAUAUCAGGAGGAACACCGGCGGCGAAGGCGGCUUACUGGACGGCAACUGACGUUGAGGCCCGAAAGCGUGGGGAGCGAACAGGAUUAGAUACCCCAGUA